rnacentral:lncRNA from 1 species
AUGGGGCGGAUUUCACUGUUUCCAGAACACAUUGGCUGCCCUGCGACCACAAGGGGGACACACUCGCAGCACACACGCAGGCACACGCAGGCACACACACACAAGCACACACCUGCACGCGCAGGCACACGCAGGCACACGCAGACACACAAGCACACACCUGCACGCGCAGGCACACACAGACACAUGCAGGCACACACCUGCACACACAGGCACACAGACACACAAGCACACACCUGCACACGCAGGCACAUGCAGACACAUGCAUGCACACAAAUGCACAUGCCUGCCUCUCCUCUCUCACGGUGCCCAGGCACACACACGCACACACAGGCACAUAGAAGCACAUGCAUGCACACACGUGCACACACACUGGGUAGGGAGGAGCCUCCUUCUCCUUGGCCGGUGAUGUGGACUUCCUUCCAGCGGCUCUGUGGACAGACAGGCCCCGGGCCCUGGAAAUCCAGGCUGGUCGCCCCGGAGCCACACCAGGCCUCAGGAGAACCCCGGGGAGCAGGGUCCCCAGUGCACCGGUGGGGACAGAGGGAGACGGAGACUGGCUCCCGGGCGCCCACAUGCUCGGGGCUGUGGGGCGGGGCAGCCGGGGCAGCGGCGGGAAGCUCUGUUGGCUUCGGGGGCCCAGCCUCUCCCCCCCGCCCCCCGUGGCUGAGGCGGCCCAGGUGCCCCGGCUGGGGGAGGUGUCGCCAACCACACCUCGGCCGGGGGUCUCUUCCGAGGUUUCCUGUCAGCGCUGUCACAGGCGGGAGGGGGUGGGGGAGGCCUCGCUGCCUGAGGGGGGGGCCUGUCCCCUGUGGGGUGGUGCCCUGGGACGAGGUGCGUGGGACUCACGGCUGGCCCUGGGGAACACAGAGCCCAGGCUGGACGCAGUGCCCAGGCCGCAAGGCGGGGCAGCGUUCCCACCACCACCGCCAGCCUGUGGCUGGGCUGAGCCUGGGAGCAGAGCCUGCCCACACACACACACGGGUCUCCCAGGCCUGGUGCUCAGGGCCUCAGCGCCCGCUCCUAGCGGGGACCCCUGGGUUGUUGGCUGGUGGUGGCCAGGAGACAGAGAGCAGGCAGAGCGGGAGAGAGGCCAAAGUCCCCUUCCCACGGGCCUCCCCCACUCCGGGACCGAGGCCCAUGAUGCACAGCCAGCCUCCAGGGGCUCACUUGGCCCCCGUCCCCCUGCCCUGA